AUGCCUGUUCGAAAUGUGAAUUAUAGUAUUUUUUCUUGUGGGAAUGGAAAUGAAAAACACGAGAUACUUUUUCUAGAAAUAUGUACUAAUGGAAGUUUAAACCCUAAGGAAGCACUUUAUGAGGCUUCUCGAAUUCAAUUGAAUUGUAUUUUUAUUGAUCAAUUAGAAUUGACUUCUAGAACGUAUAAUUGUCUAAAAAGGGCCAAUAUACAUACACUAUUGGACCUUUUGAGUAAGACUGAAGAAGAUCUUCUGAGAAUUGACAGUUUUCGUAUGGAAGAUAGAAAGCAUCUAUGGGACACUCUAGAGAAGCAUCUCCCAAUUGAUUUACUUAAGAAUAAACUCUCGUUUUAA
rnacentral:rRNA from 1 species